UGGGGAAUAUUGCACAAUGGGCGCAAGCCUGAUGCAGCCAUGCCGCGUGUGUGAAGAAGGCCUUCGGGUUGUAAAGCACUUUCAGCGAGGAGGAAGGUGGUGAACUUAAUACGUUCAUCAAUUGACGUUACUCGCAGAAGAAGCACCGGCUAACUCCGUGCCAGCAGCCGCGGUAAUACGGAGGGUGCAAGCGUUAAUCGGAAUUACUGGGCGUAAAGCGCACGCAGGCGGUUUGUUAAGUCAGAUGUGAAAUCCCCGGGCUCAACCUGGGAACUGCAUUUGAAACUGGCAAGCUAGAGUCUCGUAGAGGGGGGUAGAAUUCCAGGUGUAGCGGUGAAAUGCGUAGAGAUCUGGAGGAAUACCGGUGGCGAAGGCGGCCCCCUGGACGAAGACUGACGCUCAGGUGCGAAAGCGUGGGGAGCAAACAGUUAGAUACCCUGGUAGUCACGCCUGUAAACGAUGUCGAUUUUGGAGGUUGUGCCCUUGAGGCGUGGNUUCCGAGCUAACGCGUUAAAUCGACCGCC
rnacentral:rRNA from 1 species